GUAGGCUAUGUUUACCUGAUGGGGUUAUGCUGGUGUAACUACUUUGACGUAGACAUACCCUUAGUCCCCAGUUCUGUCUGACUCUGGCCAGCCGUGAGUAAGAGGCAGAAUUACAAGAGGGACAGUGUGUUUACCUGAAAUUGGAAUCCAGAGGGUGCAUCAGUGCUAAGAUCUUGUCCCACUUCCCAUCCCAGCAAACCAGUGAGAAUCCAUGCAAAUGGACAUGAGCCUAUCCAACCCAAAUCUUGCCUGUGAGUUCUCAAGAAGGUUAGACCAGGAUUAAACUAUGAAUAAAUCACACUGACUGCUCAGUUCAGAUGGUGAAGAGAACAGAAUGGGCUUGGAAAAGCACAGAAGAGUUGCAGGGAUAUUGCAUGAGACGGCAGAGUCAACAAGCAAGUGAUAAAACUAAAAGACAAGGAAGAAUCAGAUUUUUUUUUUUACUAGCCACGCCCAAUUUUCUUUGGAAAAGCAUAUGGCACUGUAAUGACAAUGUAAUUCUUCAGCUAUGUGAUCCGAUCUGAAAAUAGAAACUAUGAGUAAAAGAAAUAACCCAUUAAAAAACACCUUUGUCCA